UAUGUACGAGGUGUGAUGAGCGCGCGUAAGAGGUGACGAGGAGGUUGAAAGGAAAAAGGACCUGGAUAGCUGAACUGGUGGCGUUUGUGAGAGGUCACAGUAGCAAUAGCAGCAAUAGCAACAUAUUUCCUGUCAUCUGUAAACUGACUACCCCUAAAGGCGGUGAAUGUGUGGCAGACACAUGAGUUGGUGCCUUGCAACAUCAUAUCAGUGGCUGGGACAUUGAAGUCAACGGUCGCGUAGAAGAUCGGAUAAGAGCAAAUAAGGAAGUGAAGAAGUAAAGUGUAGUGAAGUGGACUAGUAACGUGACUGUAAAGUGUAAGAAAAAAAAAAGGAAACUGUAAAUGCAAUGUUAACUGUAUUUUUUUUUAUUUUUAUGUAUGGUUUAACUAGAUAUGCUGAUCGGAAAAAUAAAAUGGUUAAAGGUUUA
rnacentral:lncRNA from 1 species